rnacentral:rRNA from 1 species
GAUGAACGCUGGCGGCGUGCCUAAUACAUGCAAGUCGAGCGAACGGACGAGAAGCUUGCUUCUCUGAUGUUAGCGGCGGACGGGUGAGUAACACGUGGAUAACCUGCCUAUAAGACUGGGAUAACUUCGGGAAACCGGAGCUAAUACCGGAUGAUAUUUUGAACCGCAUGGUUCAAAAGUGAAAGACGGUCUUGCUGUCACUUAUAGAUGGAUCCGCGCUGCAUUAGCUAGUUGGUAAGGUAAUGGCUUACCAAGGCAACGAUGCAUAGCCGACCUGAGAGGGUGAUCGGCCACACUGGAACUGAGACACGGUCCAGACUCCUACGGGAGGCAGCAGUAGGGAAUCUUCCGCAAUGGGCGAAAGCCUGACGGAGCAACGCCGCGUGAGUGAUGAAGGUCUUCGGAUCGUAAAACUCUGUUAUUAGGGAAGAACAUAUGUGUAAGUAACUGUGCACAUCUUGACGGUACCUAAUCAGAAAGCCACGGCUAACUACGUG